rnacentral:rRNA from 1 species
UACGUAGGGGACGAGCGUUGUCCGGAAUCAUUGGGCGUAAAGCGCGUGUAGGCGGCUCAGUAAGUCUUGCGUGAAAUCCUGAGGCUCAACCUCAGGCGUGCGCGGGAUACUGCUGAGCUAGAGUCCGGAAGAGGAGUGUGGAAUUCCUGGUGUAGCGGUGGAAUGCGCAGAUAUCAGGAAGAACAUCUAUGGCGAAGGCAGCACUCUGGGACGGUACUGACGCUGAGACGCGAAAGCGUGGGGAGCGAACAGG